GCAGGCUAACACAUGCAAGUCGAACGGCAGCACAGAGGAGCUUGCUCCUUGGGUGGCGAGUGGCGGACGGGUGAGGAAUACGUCGGAAUCUGCCUAUUUGUGGGGGAUAACGUAGGGAAACUUACGCUAAUACCGCAUACGACCGAGAGGUGAAAGCGGCGGACCGCAAGGCGUCGCGCGAUUGGAUGAGCCCAUGUCGGAUUAGCUAGUUGGCGGGGUAAAGGCCCACCAAGGCGACGAUCCGUAGCUGGUCUGAGAGGAUGAUCAGCCACACUGGAACUGAGACACGGUCCAGACUCCUACGGGAGGCAGCAGUGGGGAAUAUUGGACAAUGGGCGCAAGCCUGAUCCAGCCAUGCCGCGUGGGUGAAGAAGGCCUUCGGGUUGUAAAGCCCUUUUGUCCGGAAAGAAAAGCUUCGGGUUAAUACCCCGGGGUCCUGACGGUACCGGAAGAAUAAGCACCGGCUAACUUCGUGCCAGCAGCCGCGGUAAUACGAAGGGUGCAAGCGUUACUCGGAAUUACUGGGCGUAAAGCGUGCGUAGGUGGUUUGUUAAGUCAAAUGUGAAAUCCCCGAGCUUAACUUGGGCAUUGCAUUCGAUACUGGCAAGCUAGAGUAUGGGAGAGGAAGGUAGAAUUCCAGGUGUAGCGGUGAAAUGCGUAGAGAUCUGGAGGAAUACCGAUGGCGAAGGCAGCCUUCUGGCCUAAUACUGACGCUGAGGUGCGAAAGCAUGGGGAGCAAACAGGAUUAGAUACCCUGGUAGUCCAUGCCGUAAAAGAUGUCAACUAGCCGUUGGG
rnacentral:rRNA from 1 species